rnacentral:rRNA from 1 species
GAUGAACGCUGGCGGCGUGCCUAAUACAUGCAAGUCGAGCGAACAGACGAGGAGCUUGCUCCUCUGACGUUAGCGGCGGACGGGUGAGUAACACGUGGGUAACCUACCUAUAAGACUGGGAUAACUUCGGGAAACCGGAGCUAAUACCGGAUAAUAUAUUGAACCGCAUGGUUCAAUAGUGAAAGACGGUUUUGCUGUCACUUAUAGAUGGAUCUGCGCCGCAUUAGCUAGUUGGUAAGGUAACGGCUUACCAAGGCAACGAUGCGUAGCCGACCUGAGAGGGUGAUCGGCCACACUGGAACUGAGACACGGUCCAGACUCCUACGGGAGGCAGCAGUAGGGAAUCUUCCGCAAUGGGCGAAAGCCUGACGGAGCAACGCCGCGUGAGUGAUGAAGGUCUUCGGAUCGUAAAACUCUGUUAUUAGGGAAGAACAAAUGUGUAAGUAACUAUGCACGUCUUGACGGUACCUAAUCAGAAAGCCACGGCUAACUACGUG